rnacentral:tRNA from 1 species
GCGGGUGUGGCGAAAUUGGUAGACGCGCUAGACUUAGGAUCUAGUGCCGCAAGGUGUGGGGGUUCGAGUCCCUUCACCCGCA